UACGUAGGGUGCGAGCGUUGUCCGGAAUUAUUGGGCGUAAAGAGCUCGUAGGCGGUGUGUCACGUCGGCCGUGAAAACCUGCAGCUUAACUGUGGGCGUGCGGUCGAUACGGGCAUCACUGGAGUUCGGCAGGGGAGACUGGAAUUCCUGGUGUAGCGGUGAAAUGCGCAGAUAUCAGGAGGAACACCGGUGGCGAAGGCGGGUCUCUGGGCCGAUGACUGACGCUGAGGAGCGAAAGCGUGGGGAGCGAACAGG
rnacentral:rRNA from 1 species